CCUUUGUAUGAAAGCAGAGGAAGUCAGCACUCCCCUGAUAAGGGUGGAAGAGGCCCUUGGGCCUGACAACAUGUAAGUAGUUAAGGCAUAUUGCCACCUACUUCAUGGCAUCUAAACACUGUUUUUA
rnacentral:ncRNA from 1 species